rnacentral:rRNA from 1 species
UACGUAGGCAGCAAGCGUUGUUCGGAGUUACUGGGCGUAAAGGGUGUGUAGGCGGUUGCUUAAGUUUGGUGUGAAAUCUCCCGCUCAACCGGGAGGGUGCGCCGAAUACUGAGUGACUAGAGUGCGGGAGAGGAAAGUGGAAUUCCUGGUGUAGCGGUGAAAUGCGUAGAUAUCAGGAGGAACACCGGUGGUGUAGACGGCUUUCUGGACCGUAACUGACGCUGAGACACGAAAGCGUGGGUAGCAAACAGG